AUCUUCAUGCUCAGUAUCUCAGCAGUCGUUGGUCAAGACAGUGCAGAAAGUAGCAGCAGCGGCAGAAGCAAUUGCUAGUGGAGUGCUAUUUCGCGAGUGUGAUCAGUUGACCCGAAAAAAAAAACCGUUAAACAGAUUUCUAAAGAUGGGCAGUUUAAGUAUAUGUCUGUUGAUCAUAAUUGUCACAAAUGCAGUAAUUGGAAUACCUAUGGUUGGACAAAGUGACAGUGCAGUUCCAGCAACGGCAGAUGAUGUUCGUGUUUCAAAAAUGCACAUUAGUGACAGCUCAUCUUCAAUUUAUAAUGCUGGCAUUGCUAGUGUAAAUGGACGAUUUGGAAAAAGCAUUCGGGCAUUUACGGUGAAUGAGUUUGAAAAGUAUAUAGGUGGAUUGGCAUAACCUAGUGAGCUUCUUUUAUUUAUAUGUGAAAUGCUUGUAUGUUGAAUAUGUUAGUGUUACAAAAAGCCUACCAGCAAUCUAUUUUUUAAUAUAGUCUGUCGUACUGCCCAUAUUCGCAUAGUCAAUGUAACCACCACUGGCAAUACCACCAUUCAAAAGCUAAUAUCUAACGCAUGUGCAUAUUUGUGACAAGUUUUAUUCAAUAGAUCACAAGAUCUAACCUUCAGUUAGAUGUCAACGUGGUAAAAAUCUGGAAAUGUAUAUUUAUUCAUUGUUAAAAUUCCAAAAGCAUGUUGAAAAGUACAGUGGCGCUUACAUCGACUAUGCGAAUAUGGGCAGCGUACUUCAUACUGUUUUUGAAUGUCAGUAUUAGUUUACAUGCUCCUAAAAUCAAUUGCAUGUUUAUGUUACCAGUUAUGAAUUUACAAAGAGGCCAUGAAAUUAAAUAAAGAAAACGGUUCAAUCGUUCAAUAA